AGAAAUGUAAAAUUUUGCUGACAGAGAUAGUUACGACCACUCGCCUGCAUGCCAAGAUAUUCAUCAUAUAGAGGCACAAGAUACUAGUAACAAGAGGGUCCCAGCUGAAGGGAAUGAAGGUCCAAUAUCAUUUGCUGUUCAGUCUAAGCCUAAACUUCAAUGUAAAGGUUUUGUCCACUGACUGCUGACCGUUGAAGACCGUUGAAGAAAUUUAAGUGACAUACCUCUGGUGGGAAUAGCCCCACCCCCUUCGAC